rnacentral:rRNA from 1 species
UACAGAGGUCCCAAGCGUUGUUCGGAUUCACUGGGCGUAAAGGGUGCGUAGGUGGUUGGGUAAGUCUGAUGUGAAAUCUCCGGGCUCAACCCGGAAAUGGCAUUGGAUACUAUUCGGCUAGAGGGUUGGAGGGGGACUGGAAUUCUCGGUGGUAGCAGUGAAAUGCGUAGAUAUCGAGAGGAACACCAGUGGCGAAGGCGAGUCCCUGGACAACACCUGACACUGAGGCACGAAAGCUAGGGGAGCAAACAGGAUUAGACUACCGUAGU